AGAGUUUGAUCCUGGCUCAGAAUGAACGCUGGCGGCGUUAACACAUGCAAGUCGUACGAGAACGCUUCAGCUUGCUGAAGCUAGUAAAGUGGCGUACGGGUGAGUAACGCGUGGGUAAUCUACCUCCGAAUUGGGGAUAACGUUGCGAAAGCGACGCUAAUACCGAAUAAUAUCAAGAGGGCUUCGGCUUUUUUGAUCAAAGGUGGCCUCUUCUUGAAAGCUACUGUUUGGAGAUGAGCCCGCGUCCCAUUAGCUUGUUGGUGGGGUAACGGCCUACCAAGGCAGCGAUGGGUAGCUGGUCUGAGAGGAUGAUCAGCCACACUGGAACUGACACACGGUCCAGACUCCUACGGGAGGCAGCAGUGAGGAAUUUUGCGCAAUGGGGGAAACCCUGACGCAGCAACGCCGCGUGAGUGAUGAAGGCUUUCGGGUCGUAAAGCUCUGUCAAGUGGGAAGAACCGCCGUGAGGUUAAUAUACUCAUGGCCUGACGGUACCACUGAAGGAAGCACCGGCUAACUCCGUGCCAGCAGCCGCGGUAAUACGGGGGGUGCAAGCGUUAUUCGGAUUUACUGGGCGUAAAGCGCGCGUAGGCGGCCGUUUAAGUCAGAUGUGAAAGCCCGGGGCUCAACCCCGGAAGUGCAUUUGAUACUAUUCGGCUUGAGUAUGGGAGAGGGAAGUGGAAUUCCUGGUGUAGAGGUGAAAUUCGUAGAUAUCAGGAGGAACACCGGUGGCGAAGGCGACUUCCUGGACCAAUACUGACGCUGAGGCGCGAAGGCGUGGGGAGCAAACAGGAUUAGAUACCCUAGUAGUCC
rnacentral:rRNA from 1 species